GACGAACGCUGGCGGCGUGCUUAACACAUGCAAGUCGAACGAAGAGCGAUGGAAGCUUGCUUCUAUCAAUCUUAGUGGCGAACGGGUGAGUAACGCGUAAUCAACCUGCCCUUCAGAGGGGGACAACAGUUGGAAACGACUGCUAAUACCGCAUACGAUCUAAUCUCGGCAUCGAGGAUAGAUGAAAGGUGGCCUCUACAUGUAAGCUAUCACUGAAGGAGGGGAUUGCGUCUGAUUAGCUAGUUGGAGGGGUAACGGCCCACCAAGGCGAUGAUCAGUAGCCGGUCUGAGAGGAUGAACGGCCACAUUGGGACUGGGACACGGCCCAGACUCCUACGGGAGGCAGCAGUGGGGAAUCUUCCGCAAUGGACGAAAGUCUGACGGAGCAACGCCGCGUGAGUGAUGACGGCCUUCGGGUUGUAAAGCUCGGUUAAUCGGGACGAAAGGCCUUCUUGCGAAUAGUGAGAAGGAUUGACGGUACCGGAAUAGAAAGCCACGGCUAACUACGUG
rnacentral:rRNA from 1 species